UGUAGUUGCAGAACGCUACAGGACUGAGACAGCUGAGGCAUCAAAUGUUUGAUUAAACGGAUGAAAAAGAGAAGUUUCUUCCCUAUAAUUAUCACUUCUUAAAAUCUGUAGCAACUUCAAGUCUGUCAGCGUGCUGAGCAUGCUCAGAAUGUGACAAUAUAUUUUUGUUCAAUAUUAAUUUCUUUCAGUUGCAAUUGUUAAAUGAAAAAAAUAUAUAUAUAUUCUUAUAAUUUAGCAAACUAAUUUAUCAAAAAAAUACAUAUAUCUGUAUUAGUUUUAAUAAAUUAAUUUGACACCUGUAUUGAAAAUACCAUAUUGUAUUCAUACAGAAUCAGUUUGGUAUCAUUGUUUGUCUGCUCACUGAUUGUUGAAACUAAGAGCUACUUUGAUCUGUUUAGAUCUAAAGUAUCCAAAGUUGAGCUCUGAUGUUUCUUCACCCCUGUGUGUGUGAUAUGUGAUUCCUACAUGCUGGCAGAGCAGAGCAGCAGUUUGUGCUCACAGAUGGUGACGGUGUGGAGAGACGGUGGUGUUUCCUCAGAAGAACCAGCAGAGUCACUUGCUGACUGAUGUUCGUCUGCACUGCACAGAGGAAAUCAGAGGAGUGUUUCUGAGUGAGGGGGGAGGAGUCAUCAUCCAGGUAAAGUGACGUGAUCAGUGGAUACACUUGUCUCCCCUUUAAAGGAGACGAUCCAAGUCAUCCUUAAAUGUUAGUGCUUUCAAAUACACAAACAUUUUUAAAGGACAAAAAUGAACAUCCAACUUUGACUGUAACACAAAAUAAAUCUUUGCAUGUGUGUUUUCAAACUCUCAGAUGGGCAGCAUAUCAGUCUUGGACUGUCUAACCUGCCGAGCAGCACUGAAUGACCACCGCACAGAGCAUGUUCCUGCAACAUUCAGCAUCUGAUCCUUCAUCUGUGUGCUUCUGCUUUUGUGUCACAUGUCAAACAGCUGGAGAGGAAACUACACCAGUGUACUGAGAUGUUUCACCAACACGUGCCAGAUGCUGUUCCUUCAUGGUGACAUCACCAGAGACAGCCCCGCCCACCUCAGGACCUCGCCAUUGAUCAUGAUGAUUAUAAUGAUGACAGCGAGCGGAACUAAGACUGUAAAAAUCCACGAGCAGAAUGUUUCUUUCUAAUUAUUAAUGAAUACUGAGACCUCUGUUCUGUGUUUUGGGGUUGUUGUUUUUUUACCUCAUUUGUUACUAACAAAGUUCACAAACUCACACAGUUUACAUUCUGUAUGUUUCCAUCUUUACCAGCCACACUCUAACUGCAUUUAAGAAAAUAAUCCUUAGAAAUCGUCGUUUUUCUCUUUUGUAAUUGAUGAUAAUUCAGUGAAUAUACUGCGCUGCUUCCUUUUAUUGCGUCUCACAUUGCUUUAAGUUUUUCAGUGUCCAGUUAUUUUUUACUGCUGUUUGAAUUCUCUGUAUGUUUGACCCUGUAGACUGUUUGAUGGACUGCUUGUCUUCCUGUUUGUUACCGCCGCCUGUUUUUUAAUAAAGAUUUGGAUUUCUGACUUCAA